rnacentral:rRNA from 1 species
AACCCUUGACAUGGGCGUCGCGGAUCCAGAGAUGGUUCUUUCAGUUCGGCUGGACGCCACACAGGUGCUGCAUGGCUGUCGUCAGCUCGUGUCGUGAGAUGUUCGGUUAAGUCCGGCAACGAGCGCAACCCACACUCUUAGUUGCCAGCAUUCAGUUGGGCACUCUAGGAGAACUGCCGGUGAUAAGCCGGAGGAAGGUGUGGAUGACGUCAAGUCCUCAUGGCCCUUACGGGUUGGGCUACACACGUGCUACAAUGGUGGUGACAAUGGGAUAAUCCCAAAAAGCCAUCUCAGUUCGGAUUGGGGUCUGCAACUCGACCCCAUGAAGUCGGAAUCGCUAGUAAUCGCGUAACAGCAUGACGCGG